UCGAGCGAGGCGGGGAGCAAUCCCCAGUCGAGCGGCGAACGGGUGAGUAACGCGUGGAUGACCUGCCCUUUGGUGGGGGAUAACUCGGGGAAACUCGAGCUAAUACCGCAUAUCACCGAGAGGUGAAAGCGGGCCGCAAGGCUCGCGCCGAAGGAGGGGUCCGCGUCCGAUUAGCUAGUUGGUGGGGUAAUGGCCUACCAAGGCGACGAUCGGUAGCCGGCCUGAGAGGGUGAUCGGCCACACUGGAACUGAGACACGGUCCAGACUCCUACGGGAGGCAGCAGUGGGGAAUUUUGCGCAAUGGGCUAACGCCUGACGCAGCAACGCCGCGUGGAGGAUGAAGGUCUUUGGAUUGUAAACUCCUGUCAGCAGGGAAAAAGGGACUGGACCUAAUACGUCCGGGACUUGAUUGUACCUGCAGAGGAAGCCCCGGCUAACUCUGUGCCAGCAGCCGCGGUAAUACAGAGGGGGCAAGCGUUA
rnacentral:rRNA from 1 species